ensembl:lncRNA
CGCUCACUAUCUUCCGAAAAAGACUCAAGACUCACCUGUUCAGAGUCCACCUCGACUCUGCAUAGCCACCCUCCCCCUUCUGGCCACCAUUGUACACUGUAUUGUAUUGCAUUGUAUUAUAGUAGUUAACUGUGUAGCAACUGCAGUAGCUGCUAUCAUGGCUGUAACACGGGGAAUUGAUUAGCCUAGCGAUUGUGGUACUUGCACUUGGUUCUAUGAACAUCCUUUCUGUACCGACAGCGAUAUAUUGAUGCACUUCUUAUGACAAAUGUACUUAUUGUAAGUCGCUUUGGAUCAAAGCGUCUGCUAAGUGCCCUAAAUGUAAAAUUUUUAAUGUAAAUACGAGUCAAUUUCAGUGCUUUGGUGCACAGCGAUGUGCAUUCACACAUGUCAGUGAGUUCAAAUGACAAUAUCAUCAGAUGAAAGCAUGUUUUAUUUGUCCAACCAAGCUUUGACUGUCACUCAUCACAUAAUGAUGACGAUGGUUUACUCUACACCCUUUAGCUGUGUUCUGCCACUCAUCACAUGAUGGUGACGAUGGUUCACUCUAAACCUGUGUAGCUCUGACUGUCACUCAUCACAUGAUGAUGACGAUGGCUCACUCUAAACCUGUGUAGAUCUGACUGUCACUCAUCACAUGAUGAUGAUGAUGGCUCACUCUAAACCUGUGUAGCUCUGACUGUCACUCAUCACAUGAUGAUGACGAUGAGACCCCUCCCCUUUUUCUGGCCGACCAGAGCCAGAAUUUGAAACAGCCAUUCCCACAGAGACAUGGCUGUUCAUGCAUGUCAAAGCUAAGGAAUCUGGUGAAAGUUAAUCUCACUCUAUUCCUCUCUGUUCCUCUCGACUCUCGAUACCUUCCUCACCAUUGCAUCAUGCUUUCCCCUUGUUUAUUAUUUUUUCUCAUUUUCCUUUCCCACACUCCUUGCUUUUAUCUUUUCAUUCGCUCUAACCUUCAUCCGUCUUCAUCCAUUUCUCUCCGCCUCUAUCUCUCUCCCUGUCGCUCCCUAAAUCUCUCUCUCUGUGUCUCUCGCCCUCUCCCUCCUGUUCAGAGACUAAAGGAGCUCAAGCACAGGGAGUUUGCUCGUAACGUGGCCUCUAAAUCAUGGAAGGACCAGCGCAAACAAGAGAGGGCCCUGAGACGCCUGCACAAGCUCGCACAGCUGCAGCAGGACAGCCAGGGAGUCCCAGAGCAGAGCUGUGAACCCAGAGGUCCAGCCAGGGACAGAGAGGGCGAACAGAGGCACUGGCCUGAGUCCUCAAGGCCCCCCCAGAGGCCCAACCCUCACCGCCCUAGCACCUACCCGGGCGCUACAGAGAGGGCAGGCAGGUUGCUGAUCUCUGUGUGCCGAUCUCCAUCUUCUCCACCCAAAGCUGCUUGUUCUGCUGAUCCUCAGCACCACCUCCCCACCGCCCAUUCCCAGCAUGCAGCAGUGGACCUGAGCGACCCACAUUGGACUCCCAGCAUCCCAGCUCUUGGGUGGGAUAACACGCUCCCCUAUCCGGGGCUGACCCCACAAGCGCCCCGGACCGGGCCCAGGCUGGGGGUCUCCUUCUGCUUCUCCCGCAGAGGACCCCGGCUGGAGCCCUCCGCCUCCGUCUUCUCCGACCUCGAGGAGGACGAGAGAGAACGAAGAGAACAAAAGAGGGACAGAAGAAAGGGAAUAAUGGAGGAUAUAGACGAGGAGAUCAGGGCAAGAGGGGAGAGGGAAUGGCAGACACACGGGGCAGCUCUGGGGUCUCAGCCCAGCUCUGAGGAUCUGGGGCCCAAAGACACCAAGCCAAUGAGUGGCGUUGAGCCGCUUAGAGACCGGGCCAGAGGGAGGGGAGACACUGAAGAGGAGACUUUCAUUCCCACUGUACCACUUCAACAUCAGGCAUGCGGGAGGAAUCGUACUCACUCCUCACCUGCACAGAUCCAGGCAGGAUUCAUAAGGACCAUCCAUCCCGAUGGGCCGGUGUUCAGCCCAACCCCCCCUGACCCUCCAACUAGAGAAACACAGGGCCAGCUGGAGAGCCAGUAUGUCUGUGUGCGGAGCAAAGACGGCAUCACCAGUUUGCGAUGGCCUAUUAGUUUACUGAAAUACACCACGCAUGAACCUUGCCUUGCUUACAGCUGCAACCUGCUAUGUCCCAACCUCUGCCGACCCAGCCCGCAACCGGCCCCAACCCCGGGGAGUCCGGAGCAUCCCAACACAAAUCAGAGAUCAGGCCUCUUGUUGGAGUCUACAGGUCCCUCCAGCAGCCCAGCCAUCCUCACAGAAGAGACACACUUCUAUCUAGCCCAGACGAGAAGCCAGAAGCCAAGAGCAAAAGGCCGGUGUGUGGCGGCAGAGCCCGGCGUGGACCCAGCCCACCUGCUCCUGCAGACCGCGCCGCAUUCAUCAUCAGAUAGGGACCUCGCCGGGGAGGGGGAGCCAAGCGCCCGCUGGGAGAAGACUGAGGGAGAAGCCUACCAUCUAUUCGACUCCCCUCCCAGUGACAGCUCUGACACAAACUCCCACAAUCCUCCUGGAGGCAGAUUAGGGGGUGUGAGUGGGAUCAGGGGUAGAGCUGCCUCAGUCCUGAGCUGUAAAUUACAGUCUGUCAGCCAACCCGGUGCGUCGAGCAAAAGCUCGUCCAGGUGUGCAUGUGGCAGCAAGGUGGCGUGCGCGUGUGCCAGAAUGCAACAGAACGCCUCCGAGGGUGUCUCAGGAACGUCACGAAAAAGGGGAAACGACAGUGUGAUGAAAGGCACGCCCGGAAAGAGAGGUGAGAGGGAGAAAUGUUCAAACAAGCGACGAGCAGCGAGGUGCAGGAUGAGGAGCGUCGUCACCACGGUCCCCACCGCGGCGGGCGGGGAGCGGGAGGGAGGCGAGGCAGGGGGGCGGCAGAGGAAGAGCAGGAGGAGGAGGAGGAGGGAGAGGCAGACAGAGGGAAGGAAGAGGAGAAGGAGAGUGUACAAAGCAGGGAGCAGCUGUCUCCUGGGAAGAUGUGAGGCUGAACCAGUAUCUGUCACUGUCAGGAGCAGGGGGCCCCACAGGAGCCACUACACAGAGUCCCAGUCACAACCCGACAGGGUGCAGGCGGGCCACUGCAGAGCGCACUCCCUGCCCAACAGAUACCCAGCAGGCAGGGAGGCCCAGCGAGGGAGGGAGGGGGAGGGAGAUGUGCUGGAGUCUUUCCCCUGGCGUUCUCACUUGUCCCCUCAGCCAUUCUCACCGGGAUGCACUGCUAAAUUGUUUGGGGAUAGGGGUCACCAUGGCAACCAUGGGAGUUUCAUCGACUGCCAUUUCCAUGACAAUAGCUGUGAUAGCGGGCCAGCAGGGAAGAGAACCCUUCUCUGCGGGGAGAAUAAAUACUUUUAUAGUCGCUGGAAGAGUGUGAAGUGCUGCCGGUCGUCAGCUGAGACAGGGGGCUGGAGGAACAGAGGAGCACAUGGAAGGAUCAGAGCGAGACACAGGCUGGGACAGUGGGGGGCGGGCCAGAGAGUUUCAGGGGGGGUGGGGGUGGGGGGGGCUACUAGCGGAGCGGCAGAUUGGGAUAUCGCAGGCCACUUUAGCCCAAAUGCAGGAGGGUGGAGCAGCAGACUGAGCAGGUGCUUCCGUCCAGAAAUGGCGGACUGGGACCGGGGCAGCCUUGACAGCUGGACCUGGGGCAGCAGCGACAGCUGGGAGGACAGGGGGACCUACAGGUCGACGCCGGUGUCCAGGGACCACAGGGACAGUCCGGCCUUUGUGUGGAGGCUGUCCGACAGCCCUCAACACCUCUCCAGUAGCCCAGAGUGGUGGGACGGCACGCAGGCCACCAGAUGCCGCAGCUCUCGAAGUCCCAGCAGCACCAGCGUGUCGGAGCUGAGCGGUGACUGCAGCAGGAGCACUACCCGGUCCAGAGUCAGCCUGCCUCAGUGGGCGGUUGGAUCCUCCUUCGAUGGUCUCUACGCUGGGGUUGAGAAACACUCCCCUCUGAGUGAGAAGCCGAGCGGCUCCUCCUCCUCAAAUGCCGGCUACCAUCCCAACGCACGGGUCGACACAGCCUCGCUGGCCUCCCUGAUACUGCCAAGUGCAAAAACACAGCCCCGGUGUGCAAGCGGUAGCGCUGAUCAUCUGUCCCGGCCAAUGCAACCUAACUCUGAGCCUGACCAUCACCCCCAACCCUUUGCCCCUGGCCCAACCAACACCUCAGAGAAAAGCCCUCCAGAGAGCGCCCCUCCACUGAGGCCAGCCAGGACAUGGCUCCUCCCUCUGAUAGGGAAGCUCCCUGCUAUUCAGAGGAUAGCCAGGAAGAGAAAGGGUUUAGAAGGGACGAGUCUGCAGGCCGAGGCAGAGGAGAAAAACAUAGUGAACGAGAAAGAAUUUACAACACUUGCUAAUCAUAAUCAUUGCACUAAGAACGGUAAUGUUUCAAGCUGUUGCAGUGCGGCUCCUCUCAGAAUGGACAAACAGACAGCUCAGCCCAUCAGCUUCAGCGCUGAGGAAAUGGACAAGUACCGUUUCCUUCAAGAGCAGGCUAGAGAGCACAUGCAGAAGGUUCUGGCCCAGAACCUGGAAAGGGGAACCAUGCAGCACAGAGACGCAGACCAGGGGAUCUACAUGCAUGUGUCACAGCUGAAGACCUAUGAACUGGAAGGACAUCACACGCUCCUGUCACACUUGCAGCCCCACGGACACCACAGCCACACACAGACAGAAGCACAGCACGCCCUUUCUAUAACCCCUCCUCCCAUGCCCACAUUCAUGCCUCCACAGGAGCCCUACGCCCAGCCCAUGCAGGUCGGACCCCCGAACCAGCCCUCUCUGCCUCUGUCUGCACUCCGACACAUCAUCCUACAGCACAGAGCCUCCUCAUCACCUUCAUCAUCCUCCAUCUCCCAUGGCCUCGCUCCGCACCCAGCCCCGCUCUGCCACCAAAGCCAGCACCACCUGCUCCAUCUACACUCCUCCCUGCCGCACCACUCCCAGCUCUCCCCGCUCUGUCCUCUCUCCGUCUCCAGCCUGUUUCCCUCCGUGCUGCUCAACCACCAGCCUCCUCCACCACCCCCUCUACUCCUUCCCCGCAUCCCGGCCUUUCACUUCGCCCCCCUGGCCUCCGCCCUGCCCCCAAUGGCCCUCCACCCACUGAGCACACAGCUCUUCCUGGACAAAGCCUGGCCGCUGAGGCUCCGGCAGAAGGCCUUAUGA